AAUGAACGCUGGCGGCAUGCCUAACACAUGCAAGUCGAACGAAGCCUUCGGGCUUAGUGGCGCACGGGUGCGUAACGCGUGGGAAUCUGCCCUUGGGUUCGGAAUAACUCUCCGAAAGGAGUGCUAAUACCGGAUGAUGUCGAAAGACCAAAGAUUUAUCGCCCAGGGAUGAGCCCGCGUAGGAUUAGCUAGUUGGUGAGGUAAAAGCUCACCAAGGCGACGAUCCUUAGCUGGUCUGAGAGGAUGAUCAGCCACACUGGGACUGAGACACGGCCCAGACUCCUACGGGAGGCAGCAGUGGGGAAUAUUGGACAAUGGGCGAAAGCCUGAUCCAGCAAUGCCGCGUGAGUGAUGAAGGCCUUAGGGUUGUAAAGCUCUUUUACCCGGGAUGAUAAUGACAGUACCGGGAGAAUAAGCCCCGGCUAACUCCGUGCCAGCCGCCGCCGUAA
rnacentral:rRNA from 1 species